AAAAUGAAACGGGUUUGUUCUAAAAAUAAUCCUGAUUAAUAGGUAAUGCUGGUUUACCAAGUAAAGGGAAUCUUUAUGAUAAAAAGGGAAGAUUUAGAAUACCUAUCAUACCCUGGUUUGCUGUCUGGUAAUAAGUAAAGCAAGUUUCUUUGAUUAGUUUAAAUCAAGUGUGAUCUCAGGAAAGCUUCAAUACAAAGUGAAAACAAUGGGCAACGUUGACGCGACAAUGCAAGGUGGUACAGGUGGUGCGGGUGGUCAGGGAGGUCAAGCUCCAGGCGCUGGGGGUGGUGGAGGAGGAAGUGGAGCCGGAAGUUCAGGUUCAGGUGGGGCAGGAGGAAACGGUGGAAAUGUGCAAAGGAUUAUUACUCCACAAGCAUUUUUCCGAUGUCGCUGAUAAUUCGUUAUAUGAAACUGUAUUAUGAACUUCAUAUUUGUGAAAACAAAACGAAAGCAAAACAAAAUAACUGAAAUAUUUUAUAUACAUGACAUUUUUUUCAUGUAUAUUUUAAACUUAAUAUUGCUUUCAUAUAAAAGUUUCAUCCUAAAUAUAACGUACUCAAUAUGUCAUCAAACUAAGUUUAUAUGUUAUUUAUUGUACAAUUUAUGAAAAAAAUGUUAUAAAAAUUUCUAAAAAAAAACAAACU